AUUGAACGCUGGCGGCAGGCCUAACACAUGCAUGUCGAGCGGAUGAAGGGAGCUUGCUCCUGGAUUCAGCGGCGGACGGGUGAGUAAUGCCUAGGAAUCUGCCUGGUAGUGGGGGAUAACGUCCGGAAACGGGCGCUAAUACCGCAUACGUCCUGAGGGAGAAAGUGGGGGAUCUUCGGACCUCACGCUAUCAGAUGAGCCUAGGUCGGAUUAGCUAGUUGGUGGGGUAAAGGCCCACCAAGGCGACGAUCCGUAACUGGUCUGAGAGGAUGAUCAGUCACACUGGAACUGAGACACGGUCCAGACUCCUACGGGAGGCAGCAGUGGGGAAUAUUGGACAAUGGGCGAAAGCCUGAUCCAGCCAUGCCGCGUGUGUGAAGAAGGUCUUCGGAUUGUAAAGCACUUUAAGUUGGGAGGAAGGGCAGUAAGUUAAUACCUUGCUGUUUUGACGUUACCAACAGAAUAAGCACCGGCUAACUUCGUG
rnacentral:rRNA from 1 species